UACAAUUCCCAGGAGCCUCCACGCCGCAGACUUCCGGCCCCGCCAUGUUGAGGGUUUGGGUUCGCCUGAGGCCCUUGGCAGGAUGGUGGCCGCUCGGCUAGUGGUGGGGCUCUCGCCUCUGGCCUCCACUCGCGUUCUCUCUCCCGGCCUCCCCGGCGACGGUGGACGCGUCCUGGGGCGACGCCGGCGCAGCCUCCACACACACACCUUCCCGAGCUACAGGUCUUCCCCGUUGGGUGACGCGGGGUGAGGGGAGCGCGGCCGCUUUCCCCGAGAGCAACGAGCACCCGGGUUCCCCACCCACUUUCCUCCCCCGCCUCCACAUUCUUCCCCUGUCUCCUUACGGCUUUGUCUUCCCUUCUCGGAAUUUCCUGACUACACACUUCGGGUCGGCGGCGGUCUCCACGGACGUCACGGGCGUCGCCCGUUGCUGGCGCGCGAUGCGAGGAGUGAGUCAGCUCGGGGUCAGGAGUCGCCCAGUGCCGGGUGGGGCCGCCCCGCCACCCCAGACUGGCCUUGGGCGCUCCAGGGUUGAAAAACAGAGCCUGUCUGGGUUUGGAUGUCAGGAACUCUGCCGAUGUUUUUGGUGCUGGGAGUCCAGUGUAUCCGCCCUCUCCCUGCUGUAGCAGCCCUUCAGGCGGACACUGGUUCUGCAGUUGUCAUAAAGCACCUACUGGGUGCUCUGCAGUACGUGAGAUGGCCACAAGCCUCUAAACCCAUGGGUAAAUGUCAUCCUAGGCACCUCAGUCCUCUAACCGUCUCAUCUCUUGGACCACUCCCCAAAACCUCUAAGGUAAUCCUCACGGCUGUCCGUUCCAGAAAAGUAUUCGCCCCACUUGACAGCUGUGUUUACCAGCUAACAAGGCUGAAACUGGAUCCCCACCUCACUGAGGCAGGGCUGACUGAGCCACCCACUUGCCCACCUACCUGCCUGGGGCUGCAUAAAAUUAUCCCUAUCAGCUGCAGCUCCAAGUACUGGCUUUCAACCCACCAGCUUAAUGACCCUGGGGGGAAUUUGGGCAAUUUAGUCCCCUCCCCUGCAACUCCCUAUCUAGCUAGGGGGCUAUUAAACAAAUUCACUGAGCCUUUGGGCAAGGGGCUUAAUUCUUCUGGGCCUCAGUUUCCCCUAAGUCCUAAGUGAUUAGGGACCUAAAGCCAAUACUGCACGAACAACAGUAAAGGCUGAUGUGAGCUGCUGUUUUCUUCUCUCAUGUUCUCUCUGCUGCCUCCUCUCCAGGUAAGCUGUCUCCUUCAUGGUGCCCACUUCCUAGUGAACGCGGACUGAUGAACCAGCACUGCCCAGUGGAACUUUCUUUGGUGAAGGAAAUGUUCUAGAUCUGCACUGUCCAACAUAGUAGCCAUUAGCUGCAGGUGACCAGUGAACAUUUGAAAGCUGGCCAGUGCGACUAAGGAACUGACUGGACACAAGAGGCCUUCCACAAAUAUUUGUGAAGUAAAGGGGAGGCAAUGGAGGAAAAAAAUCACAUAAAGGAAUCUUUGUGACACAGCAGAAACGUGUUAAGCACCUGUCACCUCAGGCCUAGCCUGCAAGUGUCCUGAUAAAAACUGAUUUGAAUCACAGAAUCCAGCAGCAUGCUUGUCAAAACCCAGAGACUUGCCCUUUUAAGUCUAAGACCAGAUACUGAAAUCAUCACACACUCAGCCCAGUGUUUUGGAAGUACCAGAUAAGAUGAAUGCAAUUACAUGAUCGUGCAGAUGAAGUAAAAUAAUACAACUGCCUCCUCCUUUAUACUUGCCAGUAAGAUGACUUUGUACUGAGAAAAUUAGUGAGACUCUAACAAAACUGUUACAAAUAAUAAGAGAAUUUAGCAGCAUGACAGGUUCAUCUGCAACAACUACGCAAGACUGCAAGGGACGAUUAACCUGAGCAGAUUAACAGCAACUACAGUGAACUCCCAACAGCACUUGGAAGGCCUGACUAGCACAGUGAGGUGAGCAGAUCCCUCUGGACACCUGUGCCAAAACUCAACUGAGACCAGUUCUGCAUCAAGGAAUGUCUGAAUCCAAUCAAAUGUUAAGACACAUUCUAACAAGAUUUUCUCAAUGAAUCCUGACAAGCUGAUGGUGAGUGUUCAUUUGGUUGAGAACAGAUAAUAGGUGUGUUUUCUUUUUUUUAAAUGAGAGGAACUACCAUUUAUCCAAGUUUGUUGUAAAGUUACAGUAAGUACAGCAAUAUGGUGUUUACUCAGACACUGACAGAGACCAAGGGAGCAUAAGGGGCCAAGAAGGCCUGCACAUGGUGAUGACUAUGGGAAUUAAGUCUAUGAUAAAGAUGGCGUUUCCAAUAAUCAGAAGAACCAACUCAGAAAACGGUGUUGAAAAAACUUGUGCCCCACAUCAUAUACACAAGGAAACCCAGUUACAGGAAACAGCUAAAACCCCCCCACAAAAAUACCAGAAUUGACAAAAGUAUUUGUACAACCUGCCUAUGUAUGACAUGAAACCUAGAAUAGGAGUAAAGAGAUUUGAAAGAAAAAA